rnacentral:lncRNA from 1 species
CAGUGGCGGAUCCAGGACCCUGGCUCAGUGGGUGCAAAAUAUUAAACUUUAAUAAAUAAGUAUAAUCAUAUAUAUAAAAGUCAUAUACUCAAAAAAUUACAUUGUACUCAAUUUAUAAUGGUGUUAGUAUUUCAUUUUAGCAUGAUUAGUUAUUAUCUUCCUCUGUACAAUCUUGUUUCUCAUCUACAAUGGUAGUAUUUCAUACACCAAUCCUGUUUCUCAUCUGCAAAAAUUCAAGUUGCUACUUUUCACUCAAAUUAAAUAGAAUGUAAAUGGAAAAUUGAUGGAAUUGUUGCUUUUCUUCUUCUGCACCUUCAACCUUCCACCAAGAGUCUCCCACUAUUGAUUUUAGGUCGUUCCGGGAAACCACAAUUCAACUUGUAAAACAUUUUACAACAACAACCCAAAACAAAAAAUUGUUGGAAAGUGAAAACAUGGUCAGGACAAAUCAUUUUGGCUAAAAUUACAAAGUCAUAGAAGAAAGAAAAAUUUAAAAUCUGAACAAUACAGAAAAGGGGAUUAAACAACACAAAAUAAAAUCCCAAAAUUGAAACUUGGGUCGAUGAUGAUCCGCUUCAAUAUACCCAGAUUAAAAACUUCAAUGAAAAAAUAGGAUCCAACUCAAAACCAAUUUAAAAGAUGAUCAAGAAAACUUUCAACACAGAAUAGAACCAAACUCUAAAUGGUACCUAAUCUUUGCUAAAAUCUCAAUUCAUUCAUAAUUUUCAAAAAACCCUAAAUUAAAAAAAUUAACAAAACCCUAAA